AUUGAACGCUGGCGGCAGGCCUAACACAUGCAAGUCGAACGGUAGCACAGAGGAGCUUGCUCCUUGGGUGACGAGUGGCGGACGGGUGAGUAAUGUCUGGGAAACUGCCCGAUGGAGGGGGAUAACUACUGGAAACGGUAGCUAAUACCGCAUAACGUCGCAAGACCAAAGAGGGGGACCUUCGGGCCUCUUGCCAUCGGAUGUGCCCAGAUGGGAUCAGCUAGUAGGUGGGGUAACGGCUCACCUAGGCGACGAUCCCUAGCUGGUCUGAGAGAAUGAGCAGCCACACUGGAACUGGGAAACGGUCCAGACUCCUACGGGAGGCAACAGUGGGGAAGAUUGCACAAUGGGGGCAAGCCUGAUGCCGCCAUGCCGCGUGUAUGAAGAAGGCCUUCGGGUUGUAAAGUACUUUCAGCGAGGAGGAAGGCGUUGUGGUUAAUAACCGCAGCGAUUGACGUUACUCGCAGAAGAAGCACCGGCUAACUCCGUGCCAGCAGCCGCGGUAA
rnacentral:rRNA from 1 species